ACAAAACGAAUAAAAGCUGUGAUGGACGGUUAAUUACAAACUGUGUUUCAGCAGAUGUGUAAGACUGACGGGGGAAAAGUUCAUUUAGCUGAUGUACAAUCAACUAACCAGAUGUUUUUCACAGCAAGUCCUGUUGAGAAAUCACAGCAGGGAAAGGUGGAACCAAUGACGUCUCAGUUUCAUCAUGUGUCCCAGUAAACCGUGAUCAUAAAACAGGGGUUCAACCUGCAGUAUAGUACAUGGUACAGGUGCAGUGCUUAACACCUUUAUAGACCACCGCCCAAUGUAAGGUUUAUGCCACACACACACACACACACACACACACACAGACAUAGUUGAAUAGCGUAGUGGUAAGACUACACACCUUUGGAACGGGAGUCAGCAUAAAGUGUUGAGGAACCAGGGCACCCUGAUGAGAAGUGGGCUACUGGAACAAGACGGCAUUGGUGGCGCUGUUGGAAUGCUACUACACAAGUUACCCAAGUGGAAAGGGCAUACAUGGAACGCCGUAACCAAGUGGCCGGCAUUGUAUAGAGGAGCUUCUGUACCAAAUAUGGCCUGGAAAUUAAAAUGGGAGCCAUACAGACGGACAAAAUGUUGGUGGCUAACCAACCGGGCAUGGUGGUGGAGGACAAGCAGAAGAAGAUGGCUGUAGUGAUAGACGUAGUGAUAUCGAAUGAUGGCAACGUCAGAAAGAAGGAACACGAGAAGCUGGAGAAGUACCAAGGGCUCUGGGAAGAGCUCCAGAAGAUGUGACAUGUACUGUUAGCAGUUUAGCAGUUGAAUGUUAAGCAUGUUAGAUGUUAAGCUUGACUACUUUCUGACUUCUCAGGAAAGUCCAGUGUGGCAGCUCAAAUCUGGGUAUAAAAACGUCAAUUCAGUUUGUUAUUUGAAUAAUAAAUAGUAUAUUUUUUAGUUUUAAACAAGCUUUUGACAUUGAUUUCUAAAAUAUUUGUGUUUCCUUGGUUUUAUGACAGGUGGUCUAAAUUUGUUAAUCACUGUCAAACACAAAACACAGAAAACGAGAAUUUGUGUUUUUUUUCUUCAAGCAUAAAAUCUGAAACAACCCCAAAAUUAAACUUUUAAUUUUAAUUGAAUCUAUUAUCUAUUUGUGGAAUAAUUUGUAAUGAAUGUUUUCAUCUGAUUUACUUUUAUUGUACAAACUGAACCAAGAACUGCAAAGUGUUAAAUAGUCCAACAUAAUAACUUUAAUCAAAAGCCAAAAUUCAGAUUGUGAAUGAACUUUUCUAUCAUUCUUGGAUUUUAGACAAAAAGUAAUUUCAAAACUCAUCAAGUGAUAAAAGACCGAUGCACGACAGACUUUCUGCCGCUGACGACUCGCUGCUCUCUCUUCAUUUAUUCCAAAGUGAUUACCGUUUCGCUUCAGCACAUUAGCCCUGCAAAUUCAAAGCUAACUUUCUUCGCACACUGGAUUUAGUAAUCCUCUGCUGCGUUCCUUCGCUUGCGAUCAUCAUUUUACGCUGUGCUGAACAAUGUACUCGCAAAGGUUAAUUCACUGUCCAAUUAUUUCAGCCAUGCAUGUUAAUGUCACCCCCCCAAGUCCUAAAGCUAUCUGCUGUCAUACAGUGUCAGUCAGGGCAUUGUGGCAGUUUAUUUGCUUCACACUUGGUGAAUCCUUUAAUUAAAUCGCCCUCGAUGCAAAUAAAAAGAGAUGCAUCAGCAGAGAUAAGGCAGAGAAUGAGCUGAAUCAGAAGUGUGUAUUUUAUAGGAACACUAAAGAUCCAAAUCUGCCUCCCUUGAGGAAAGGGUCAAUAUGUCAGGAGCAGGGUCGAGAUUAAUAUUACAGAUGUUUGUAUAAAUUUCCCAGAGGUGUAUAUUAGACUUGCUAGAUAUUUAUUGUACACUGACUUAAGAGACAUUUUCAUUUAGUUAGCUCAGUUUUAUGUACAUUUCUGGGUAAUGGAAUGAGGAAAAUAUCUUUCCUUCCACUACUGCGGACUCUUUAGAAAAUUCUGUUUCUGUUGCACGGUCAUGCUUUCUCCAUAACAAUGUGUUAUUCUCAAAGAGUGUGAGCUUUUUUAAUUUUUGUUUUUGUUUAUUAUUUAAAAUGCAUGUUCAGAUGUGUCGUGUCUUCUGUUGUUUGCUCAUCAUUGUUCAGAUUAUGACUCUUUUUUUCAUUGAGCGGCGAAGUUCUGUAAUCUGUAUGUACUCCAGCACAUUCACUUAGUAAAAGCUCAUUUGCAAAGUUGUUUAAGCAACUGCUGUAAAUCCUCUGUGGGAGGGUUUAAUGUUAAUAUAAAAGUACCUAGAUUUUAUUAAUGGUAAUACACAUCACCAAGUACAACACUGUGGUUAGCGGUUACGUUUUAUUUUUUUAGAUAACAGAGGAAUCACGUCUGUUUUCGAUACACCCACAAAAAAAUAAAUUAAUCAAUAAACAUAUUUUUGUUAAAUCAA